AAAGGUUGUAAGAAGCUGAAGUAGCCAUCUAGUCACUCAUUUCCCUCGCGGAAAGAAACAGCAACAGAACUGCAUGGUAGUAGAAUUGUUCGCUUAAACGAGACAGAAAAUGGAAGCAUAGAAGAGGAGAACAUUGAAUAAUUCCCUGAUAGGCGCCAGAAGAGAAAUCAACAUCAUCUUCCAUGCCCCCUCUAGCCUGCAUGAAGGCCUCUGGAUUCUCCUCCGGAUCAUUUGGGUUCAUCCUCAUGCCGGAUUUUUCCUUGCGUGCAGUGUCGAAGUAGGCAGUGUAAGGAACAUUAUCAUUAUCCCAGCCACCAAACUUGGGGACAUGGUGACGUUGCUGUGACAGAAUCAUGUGUAAGAAUGGGAAAAUUUUGUGCAGAUACACACUUGAUAAAUUCAAUCUCA